GCGGCCGUGGUCUAGUCUGGUCUAGGACCCAGGCCCCCCAAUAGCCUGUGACCCGGGUUCAAAUCCAGUUUGGGUUUUCCAGCUGGUGAGUAUCCCGGCGGCCGCACCA
rnacentral:tRNA from 1 species